UUGUAGAAAAUAUAUCUGAACUCAGAAUCGUCUAUAAAGUACAACUUCUUUAAAACAUAAGCGAUCAAUAUGUUUCAAUAAUGGUCCUCUUCCACUUAGAGUAUGACUAUAUUACCUUGACCUUAUUGAAUAUGAACAAUUUCCCCCUGAUGGAUUACGUUAUACUGUCAAGCACUCGAAUAGCCGAGCGUGCUGUCCUCUGACAGCUCUUGUUUGUGUAGAGGUCUAUUAAAAACUGAUAAAAUUCCGGGAUUUUCUAGAUUUUCUGGUUCCUACAGGACCCCAUACAAUACACAUCUUUACACAGCUGAACAACAACAGGCCUUCUGGUCAGUUGGGCCCCCACAUCCAAGGACAAUGCCUUGGUAAAGGUGUCAAGCUCUUGGGUCAGGAAUUUUGGGUAAAGCUCCUACCCCCAGGGUACAGCCAGUCUAUCCAUGGGACUCCAAACUUCCCUGCUCAGGGACCAAGACUACCUCAUCUACAAGAAUGUUCGUCAUGACAAUAUCUAAGCAAAGUUCAAAAUUGAAUUCCGAUCUUGCACCAGGUCGAGUCUUCUACCAACGUUUAACGUUUAACUCAGGUCCGUGAGUCUCUUGUGUAACAACCGAAGCUAAAGAUGAAGGGCCACAGAGAGAAAUAGAGGUCACAACAGUAAGACAUGCAGAUAUUGCUGCUUCAGUCUCAAUAGCAACAUCAGCAGCAGCAGCAAUAGCAAAAGCAGCAACAACACCCACAAUUCAACAAUCAACAGUGCCAUUGCUGAGCUCUUUCAAAUGUCGAGGAUCACCAAAAACCACUCGGUGCCAAGCAAUGAAAUUAUCAGCUGCCACCUUGACCUGACUAUUGUACACACCUGGGAGUCAGGUUUAAGGUCACAUCAGCUUAAAUGUUCACGGCAGUAAGAAAAUGUAAGAUCUUAAAGGGACUUGUUCACAGAUUGUGUGGGUAAGUUGACAGACCUCAUUUGCAUUACUAAAAAAAUGGCAACAAUUUUAAAUGAAUAAACAUAAUUCUACAACUUAUACCAAUAUAUUGCGGUACAUAGUGUAUAGUAUCGCAAUAUGCUUUUACUGCCUUGAAUACAAAUAUAAAUUACCCCAGUUUGGAAUCCAAAUAAAGGCAGUUUUUUUUAUUUUACGUCCUUAAUUUUUAUUAUUAUAGUUAUUUUAGGUUAUUCCAUAAACUGUAUUUUAUUGGUUUUAAUAAUGUUUGUAAAAAUAUAUUGAGAACUCGAUGACGACUAUAUCUUAAAACAAAAUGACUGCAGAACAGGUCUUAAACAUUUUCCUUUAAAUAUGUCACUAUCUUUCUCAGUAAACACGUCUGCAGAAAGAAUAACCUCUUUCCCUUUAAAGAAAUCUCAAUAUGUUUUUUACUGCAAACGGAUUUAUUACAGAACUGGAAUCUAUCUUUGAACAUUUUCCUGCAGUAUUCUCCGUCAUUUGCAGUUAACAAGAUGACUGAACAACAUGGCAUCAAUGGCAAGGAAGAAGUGAUCAGGGGGGGUAAUCACGUGCAAAUCAAGAUGGCGACGUCCAUGCCAAGACUGCGUAGAGUCUGCUCGGGAAGCAUUUGCACACAAGGCACAAACAUCAGCUGCAAUAAUCGUCUUGAUAUUCUGUCAUCGCCAUGGUGCACGACCCUCAGUCUAUGAACAUAGAGAACCUUGGACACCCAUGGAAGAAAGACAACUGGCCAAUCAGAAUUACAGCCUGUUGCAGCAGUUGUUACCAUAUUUUCCUCAGUCAAACCUGAGAAGCUCAGAGAUAUAUACUGUUUAAGAUGUGCUAGACUCUACAUACCUCCUGGUAUGUUCAGCACUUACUCUGACAGGUUUUAUCUUUGACUUUUGUGACGGAUGGAAAAUAAAUGAGCUUGUUCACAUCGAAAUGGCAGAAUGACAUAUCACAACAAUUGAAGUGGAAAGCCAGAAAGUCAUGUGGACAGCCACGUUUUGUAUGUGACCAGCCAAGUUGUAUUCAAAGGAAAACACAAGUAUAUGUUUUAUGGGAAUUAUGAUACUGUCAGUCAUUUUAUGUUGAAAGUUUUGGUGAAAUAUAGUAUGUACAUUAUUAUCAUAAGCACACAUAUAACAAGUCUAUCCAAUGUCUUUGUCUGUAUUAUGAAACUUUCACUACAGACUUUGAUCCUGAUAAUGAUAACAUUUUAUUUAAAGAUUGUCAAAGCUGUUUAAAUGAUGGUGGUAAAUUGGAUAAAAUUGAGAAAAUAUUUAAGUAUUUUCCUGUAAUGAAACAUGUUCAUGUUUUCUGUUUUUACCAGUAAUAUAGAUGUGCUACUUAAACAAAUUCUUCAGAAAGGCUGAGAGUUAUGAAAUAUCGGAAUUGUCUGUCUAUCAAUCUUUCUGAAACAAUAUAAGUCGAUUGGCUCACCCGGGUCAGUAUUCGAUCAAGAAUCUUGUUUAGUAGCAUAAUAUUUCAUCGGAAUACAUGUAUAAAUAAAUUCUGGGAAAAAUCAUUUAAUGUACCUAACAUAAUUGAUUCUGUAUUUACUAUCAGUACUUGGUUGAUUUCAAUGCCUGUGGUUUAUUAAAUGAUAAGAGCAUGACUCUUGUGUUAUUGGGAAAGCUUUUCAUGUAAAUGAGAAUUAAACAAAGAUGAAAGUAUUUUAUGAAAAAUGGCAAAAGUUAUGAUUGUUAGUUUGUGUUGUUAUAUCAUAGACUUACAUGCUGGUAAGUUUUAAAGUUUGUUUUUGGACAUAUUAGUUUAUAAUGCCAUAUAUUUGUAUAUGCACAUUUAGACAACCCUCUUAAAUCAGUGAGUACACAUGUAACUUAACAAAGAUUUCUGAUCACUGUAUAUAGGUAUGUUUUGCCAUGUAUACAUAGAGCAACUGCGAAACAAUUGUAUGUUCAGUGUAAACUGUUUAUUUAAUGUUGCCAUUUUUAUAAGAUAAACUCACUGUUUACAUUUAUUUGUACGAACAAUUGUUCUAAAACAACAUUUCUUGUGUAAAUGCUCAUAUACGUAUUAAACUGUUUAAAUAAUGCAGCAUGACAUAUUUUGAAGAGAAAAAGAUAGUUAAGGCAAUAUAAACACCUUGUUAUAUGCAAUGUUUUUCAUCGAAUGAAUUUUAGCAACUAUUUAAAAUGUAUUUUUUUACAUAAACUAAAGAAAAAAUAAUACCUUGAAAUUUGAAUUAAAAUUAAGGGAGAGUGAUGUCAUAUGCUAACAAUUGCCAAGAAUUGCAAUGGCCUCUAUUGGCAAUAUAAGCGAGUACUAUUGUUUGCAAAAGAUAUCUAUUUUGUUAAAUAAUAAUUGUGUUUUACAACUCUACAUAACAAGUAAAUACAUUUCUAAUUAUUUCGCACUAUAUACUCGGCUAUAGGUGAAUGUCUAAAAGGGUUUUGUGGAAUAAACACUUUAGAAAAUAUAUGCUUGUUUCAGGAAGUAAUAGUUUAGGUAAAAUGUGAUACUUAUUGUUACAUAAACACCAAGUGUAAUAACAAAAUGCAUCAGUAAUGACUUUAUUUGAAAAAUUACAUUUGCAUGAUCACACAAUGUGUAAAGUUGUGUAAAUGUGACGUUUAUGAAAUGUGUAUAUUUCAACAAUAAUAUUAUACUUGUAUUUAAAGUACUUGAUAAGUAUUGACGUAGAUCUACUGCUAUUAGAGAAUUGUGUCAUUUAACUAGUUUUGUUACAGUUUGUGUAACGUUGACCAGUCAACAUAGCUGUCAGUGGAGUGAAUUCACUGGGGUUCAAUUUCCGUAAUUCUUCCAGUUUAAAACUUCAGCAUACACGUAUGUCUUAAAUCCAGAUUUCCCUAAAAUUGUGGUUGUUUAUAUUGAACUUUUAUUGAAUGCAUGUGACAUGUUUGUUCUUUUGUUGAACGACUGAAAAUGACUAUAUGUAUAAAUUGUGUGUCAUGUUUAGAUAUAUCAAAUUGAUAAAUAGAAAACAAAAUACAAAAUUUGCAAUAAUUUGUAUGCAUGCUUAGCCCCCAAAAAUGUUAUCAAACAAGCUUAUUGGUAUUGGACUAUGUUUGUAAUUUAAGAUUAAAUGCUUCAAUCAUGUGUGAUUUUUUUCAUUUACGUUAAAUAAACAUUUUUCAUUAGUAGAUAUAGGAUGUAUAAACUCUUAUGUAGACUUCUUUUUAAUUGCUUUUGUAAAUAUCUUCAAUAUUUGACAUUACUGUUAAGGGUAUUUUUAGCUCGGUUGUUUUCGGAAAAAAACCGAGGUACAUGUAUUGUCAUAGUUGUGUCGUCUGACGUCCGCUUCGUGCUAAAACCUUUAAAUUUUGCUCUAAAAUUAAAGUGCUUCCACCUAAAACUUUGAAACUUCAUAUGUAGAUGCACAUUGAUGAGUUCUACACGCCACACCUAUUUUGCGGUCACUAGGUCAAAGGUCAAGGUUGCAGUGACCUCUUGAAAAAAACUAAUUCGUACAAACUUUCAUUCAUUCAAAACUGCACCCGCAUCCGAGCGUGGCACCCAUUAUUGGGUGCGGCACCCAUUAUUGGGUGCUCUUGUUAUAGUAAACAUGUACAUGUUUCUCUAAACUGUAAACGGGUGUCUGUUUAAGUUAUUGUGAUUUGUUAAUUUUGUAUUGCUAAUUAAAUGAAAUAUUGUGUAUAGUCUCGCAUUGUUGUUGUUAUAAGACAAAGCACAUUCCCUUACUCAUGUUUAUUUUCAUGUUUAUUUUCGUCCACUAUUUCUAUAACCAGUGUUUUGUCUGUAGAAGUUACAAUAUACUUAAUAUUGCAGUUGUGCAAUGCAAUAUGCUUUACUUUCUAAAUAAAUCAACACCAUUUAUUGGUUGACAUAAUUUCAUGUAUGGGCACUUACCACCCCUACCAAGUUACUCCCAGGACGGCUAGAUUUAAGCCAUCAGCUUAUCAGCAGAACUAAUUAGUGUUAACUGUUCUGUGGUCAUAAAGCACACUCCCCUGUCAGGAUGACAACAACCUACUUGGCGAUAAUAAAUGAACCCAGGUGUUAUAUUUGGAAAAUUCAUGUUGACGACAUUUUGGUAUUUUAAGACCAGUUCAACACUCCACUAGCAAAUAUCAUGCUGGAUACCCAUGUUGAUAAUUCUUGUAAAGUCGAUUGUUAAAAAAUUUGUUUUUUAAUUUACUGAUUAGUAACAUAGUUACCCGGUAUGUAUAUUAUGUGAACAUUUGUUAUGUGAAUUACAAAGGUGAAGUAUUUGGAGUAAAAGUUUAUGUUUUUUCCAUGAAAUUUCCUUGCUAGAAAAGUUUGGGUUACAAUCAUGACAGUACUAAAUAUACAUGUAUAUAGCAGCUUAUCAUUCUAUAAAAAUUAUAAAUUUCUAUUAUAAAUUGACAAGAAUUCUAUAAAAUUUAUGUGCCAUACUAUUUAUGCUAUUUCAACUUAUUUAUAUGAACAUUUAUAGCUGUACAUUGAAAUAAGGAAUAUUCAAUUGUUUACUUCUGAAUAAUUUGAUAAUAUAUAUCAUAAUUAUAAUUAUGCUCUGAGAUCAAUGUAUACUGUUCGCAUACACUUGGAGACUUUUCUAACGCAUCACCUAAUCAGAUCAAUAUAUAUCUCCCUUAAAUUUGAACGGCUUGUGUUUAGACCAAGAAUAAUUCAACACAUCUCUGAUUAUUCCUGAAAAUUUAAUUGAAAUUGAAAAACAACAAAAUCUAAAACUUAACAAAUUAAAUACGUCACUUCAAAGUCAAUUUCGCAAACUCGUACAACUUUAAAUAAUAACAAUGUGAAAAGUAAAACGCAAAAACUUACACGUAUUAAUAACUGACCGGCUUGCAACAUGCAGAUUGAGCCGUUUCACUCCUGAAUAUUCAUACGAGCCAUAUUGUUUUCUUUAAUUGAUGUUAUGUUUUUCAUGUGUAAAAACUUACCUAGAAUUAUGACAUUGAAAUCAAAUUGGAAUAACAUGUAUAUCGCCUUUUACUACACUUGGUGAUUUUUCUAACGCAACACUUUUAAAUCUUACAUAUCUCAGUAAUGAGUAAAUAUUUUUAUUUAAAAUUGCAUAUGUGGUCAUUUGACUACAAUAUGUGCAAGCUAACUAUAAAAUCAUUCAUCCGUGACGAUCGGACGCUUUAGCAAGUGGUAAAGGUAGCCUGUAAAAUGCAAAGUGGGCGAUUGCGCUCCUGAAUAUUCAUACAAGUUAUAUUGUUUUGUAAAUUAAUUCUAUGUUUUCCUUGUGUAAGAAUCCACUUAAAUUAAUUCAAUUGAAAUAAAACAAGAAUUAAAUCGCGUUUCACCAUUUCCACGUGCAAAAAUAUGGAACCACACCUACCCCACGUGCCAAAGCGUCCAUUCGUCACGGAUGAAUGAUUUUAUCGUGAGCUUGCGUAGACUAUUUAGUCAAAUGAUUGUAAAAAUUUGAAUCAAUAUCUUUACUCAUAACUUAGAUAUUCAAGUUUGAAAAGUGAUGCGUUAAAAAAGUCCCCAAGUGUGUAUAUAUAUA